GGAAGAAUCACUUGCUGAUCCAACUGGACUAGAUAUUGAUGAAUUGAAACAAAGGUCUGAAGAGGAUAUGGAUGUCGAUGAAGAGAUGAAGGGAGAAGAGCUGGAUUUCAAAGAAGAGAUAAGUCCUGAAGGUGAGUCUGCUGAGAAUGAGAACCAUGAUGAGUCUGCUGAGAAUGGGGAUGGCAAAGAAAAUGCAAAUCCUGUUGAUGAUGAAACGAUGGACG
rnacentral:misc_RNA from 1 species